UACGUAGGUGGCGAGCGUUGUCCGGAUUUACUGGGCGUAAAGAGCGUGCAGGUGGUCGUUCAAGUCGCGUGUGAAAGCCCCCGGCUCAACUGGGGAGGGUCACGCGAUACUGAUCGACUCGAAGGCAGGAGAGGGUAGUGGAAUUCCCGGUGUAGUGGUGAAAUGCGUAGAUAUCGGGAGGAACACCAGUGGCGAAGGCGACUACCUGGCCUGUUCUUGACGCUGAGGCGCGAAAGCUAGGGGAGCAAACGGG
rnacentral:rRNA from 1 species